UGACCACCUGUCCACGACAUUCAAGGAGGUCCAUGAAGUUUGUAACUUUGCUGAGCUAGGAGCUGGAGUUUGAGGGGAUCUUUUGUUUGGCUUCAUGCCUCGACUCAAAAGUUCCUUUUGGAGGAAGGCAGUUCCUAUUUGGAUAAAGAAAUCAGCUGCAUCGGCCCGAUUUGCUGUAUCACUGAUGUUCUGCCAGGACGUCUUAGUCGUAAAGGAAUAUAAAGACAGAGGCCCUUGUGCUGGAGACAGAAGUGUCCCCUGUCUCCUGUUCUUGGCCCAUGAACUUGGAUAAGUGUUGGAGUGGCCAACCCCUGCCUUUUAUGGCUUGCCAGCCAAUGAGACGCAAUACUUGGAAUCGAGGAUCAGC